UACGAAGGGGGCUAGCGUUGCUCGGAAUCACUGGGCGUAAAGCGCACGUAGGCGGAUCGAUCAGUCAGGGGUGAAAUCCCAGGGCUCAACCCUGGAACUGCCUUUGAUACUGUCGAUCUGGAGUAUGGAAGAGGUGAGUGGAAUUCCGAGUGUAGAGGUGAAAUUCGUAGAUAUUCGGAAGAACACCAGUGGCGGAAGGCGACUUACUGGACACAUAUUGACGCUGAGGUGCGAAAGCGUGGGGAGCAAACAGGG
rnacentral:rRNA from 1 species